rnacentral:tRNA from 1 species
UUGGGAAUGGUCGGGAUAGCUCAG